GUGCGGUCUCUCGUGUGCGGAAUAUAGACUAUUGAUGGUUAUUAAGAUAAUAACAAUACCGGCUGGAAUAUAAAUUAACUUAUGGACUAUGUAAUAUAUUUUUAAACCUUGUUUAUAGUUUAUCAGCUUUAAGAAAAAUAAUUAUCCAUUAUUAAUGUUACUAUUAUUUUGCCAUUUAUUUUUCUGUCGACUGUCACCACUCACUCGUACCUGGUCCAUGUGUUUUCUGAAUAAAGUAAGUAUUUAAUCAAAACAAAUUAUAGGUACUUUAAGGUAUUAGUUAUAAGGUAUUUUUUUCAAUAAUCGACCAAGUGCCAGUUGAUUUAGAG